CUCCGGCGACUCUGUAGCC
rnacentral:snRNA from 1 species